UACCAGCACCCCGAGUGGUCGGGACGAUUAUUGGGCCUAAAGCAUCCGUAGCCGGUCCUACAAGUCUUCCGUUAAAUCCACCUGCUUAACAGAUGGGCUGCGGAAGAUACUAUAGGGCUAGGAGGCGGGAGAGGCAAGCGGUACUCAGUGGGUAGGGGUAAAUCCUCUGAUCCAUUGAAGACCACCAGUGGCGAAGGCGGCUUGCCAGAACGCGCUCGACGGUGAGGGAUGAAAGCUGGGGGAGCAAACCGG
rnacentral:rRNA from 1 species